GUUAGACAUGCGAGUCGAGCGUCUCUAGCUAUGUUGAGACGCGGCAGACGGCUCAGUAACACGUGGCUAACCUACCUUCAGGACGAGGAUAAACCCGGGAAACUGGGGCUAAUACUCGAUAGGUGAGAAUGUCUGGAAUGACUUCUCAUCCAAAGGGCCUUGGAAACAUGCUUUCAAUGUCGCCUGGAGAUGGGGCCGCGUCCGAUCAGGUUGUUGGUGAGGUAACGGCUCACCAAGCCUAUAACCGGUACGGGCCAUGAGAGUGGUAGCCCGGAGAUGGGUACUGAGACAAGGACCCAGGCCCUACGGGGCGCAGCAGUCGCGAAAACUCCGCAAUGCACGAAAGUGUGACGGGGCUACCCCGAGUGCCAUCCGCUGAGGUUGGCUUUUCUUUGGUAUAACUAGCCAUGGGAAUAAGGAGAGGGCAAGACUGGUGUCAGCCGCCGCGGUAAUACCAGCUCUCCGAGUGGUAGGGAUGAUUAUUGGGCUUAAAGCGUCCGUAGCCGGCUUAGCAAGUCUCCUGUUAAAUUCAGCGACCUAAUCGUUGACCCGCGGGAGAUACUACUAGGCUAGGAGGCGGGAGAGGUCGACGGUACUUCUGGGGUAGGGGUGAAAUCCUAUAAUCCCGGGAGGACCACCAGUGGCGAAGGCUGUCGACUAGAACGCGCUCGACGGUGAGGGACGAAAGCUGGGGGAGCGAACCGGAUUAGAUACCCGGGUAGUCCCAGCCGUAAACGAUGCGAGCUAGGUGUUGGGAUGGCUACGUGCCAUUCCAGUGCCGCAGGGAAGCCAUUAAGCUCGCCGCCUGGGGAGUACGGCCGCAAGGCUGAAACUUAAGGGAAUUGGCGGGGGAGCACCACAAGGCGUGAAGCUUGCGGUUCAAUUGGAUUCAACGCCGGAAAUCACU
rnacentral:rRNA from 1 species